UAACAGCACCAACAGCACACUCUCUGUGCAUUUCUGAAAAGCAUGUUCCUCUUCCUCCUAUUCACCGCAGCUAGAACGCUUAAGUUCUGUUCAACUUUCUCCCUCUGUCUCCCACUCCGCUAAUGUUUAUCGGGUGCCUGCUGCAGGCCAGCAACUGCAACAUCUCUCUAAUCCAUCUGUCCUUCACCAUUCCCUGCACCACAGCCUCACCACUUCCCCCUUACAUUACUGCAAUAGCCUCUUAAAUCGUUCCUGGAUCCUAUCUCCAGUAGUGAGUUCCCCUAAUCUAUAUCUACACAUGGUUGCCCAAGUGAUCUUCCUGAAAUGUAUGUUAUUCCCUUGCUCAAAAUCCUCAAAGCCAAACUCCUACGUGUGGCCUUCUUUCCUAGGUUCAUCUCCCUGGCAUUAAUUCUAUUCUCUACUUACACAGCAAAAAUUCAAUAACACUUUGCUGAAUGCUCCAUGCUGUUUCAUCACAAUAUAACCUUCUUCUUGAAAUAUCUUUCUCAUUUCCUUUACCUGAUGAACUUCUAUUCAUUCUUAAAGAUUUAAAUCAAAGGUAUCUUUUCUAAGCAAACUUCCUUGGUCCAAUGACCUUCUCAGCCAAUUACUCUUCUACACCACUGUUCUUUUGAGGGGCUCCUCACUCUGUGUUUGAAGCCUAUAAAGCACCUAUUAAAUUUUACUGUUAUUUCAUUGCUAAUCAUCAGGGAAAUGCAAAUCAAAACCACCAUGAGCUAUCACCUCACACCUGUCAGAAUGGAUAACAUCAAAAAGGACAUAAAUAAGAAUUGUUGGCAAGGAUGUGAGAAAAGGAAACUCUCCUACACUGCUGGGGGGGAUGUAAAUUGGUGCAGCCAUGGUGGAAAACAGUAUGGAGGUUUGUUAAAACCCUGAAAAUAGAACCACUAUAUGAUCCAGAGAUCCAGUCCUGGUUAUAUAGCAAAAAAACAAAAACAAAACCAAAAACAAACCCAGCCACUACUCUGAAAAGAUGCAUGUACCCCAGUGUUCAUAGCAGCAUUAUUUACAAUUCCCAAGAUAUAUAUAGAAGCAACCUGUGUCUAUCCAACAAAGAAAUGGAUAAAGAAGACUGGUAUACCACUUAGCCAUAAAAAGAAGGGAAUUCUGCCAUUUGCAGCAACAUGGAUGGACUUGCAAGGUAAUAUGCUAAUUUUAGAAAGUCAGACAGAGAAAGACAAAUCCUGAAUGAUAUCACUUAUAUGGGGAAUCUUAAAAAUACAACAAACUAGUAAGUAUAUCAAAAAAUGAAGCAGACUCACAGAUACAGACAACAAACUAGUGGUUACCAGUAAGGGUGGCAAUAUUGAAAUGGAGGAGUGGAAGGCACAAGCCAUUGGGUAUAAGACAGGCUCCAGGAUGGAUUACACAACUCAGGAAUAUAGCCAAUAUUUUGUAAUAACUGUAAACAGAAAGUAACACUUAAAAGUUGUCUUUUAAAAAUAUUUUUAAAUAAAAUUAAAAAUAAAUCUUAAAACAAUAAUAAAUAGGAGUUCCCAUCACAGCACACUGGAAAUGAAUCUGACUAGUAUCCACGAGGAUGCGGGUUCCAUCCCUGGUCUUGCUCAGGAUAAGGCGCUGCCGUGAGCUGUGGUGCAGGUCACAGACAUGGCUGGUAUUGCUGUGGCUGUGGCGUAGGCUGGUGGCUACAGCUCCGAUUCAACCCCUAGUCUGGGAACCUCCAUAUGCUGCGGGUGUGGCCCUAAAAAGACAAAAAUAAAUAGAUAAAAAAUAAAAACAAUACUCCCACCGACGUUGUCUGUCAGAUUCCAUAGCUUUUGGACACACAAUCCAAUGUAGCUGGUUUAUGCAAAAAUGUAGUUAUUACAAGGUGUAAGGCAGCUAACAAAAUUUCUGGGAAAGGCAGGUCAUUGUACAGGUCAUUGUACAGCUUGGAUGGUACUCAACCAACAACUCGCAGUCCGUAGAACACUUGGUCCUUACAGGGACCUCACAGCCAAAACCUCACUCUGACUGCUCCAGGACAAUGAUUGACCAGUAGUUCCUGGAGAAUCAAACACUGCAUCACCAUACUUGCCAGAAGGUUCUCUCUCUGAACACUUAUACCCACCACUCAUUGCUCACUUCUUCCUUCCAAGUCUUUUCACCUACUCUGCACAACUCCAGAGGUUGCCAUCACAUCACUCGGAGCCUGUAAGCCACAUGCUGAGGCACCCUUCACACACCCUUCACCCUUUACAUGUGCUUGAGGAAUCAUAGCUCAUGUGUGAAUCCUAGCUGCAAAGGGAUCUGGGAAAUGGAGUGUCACCCUUGCUGCCUCAAUAAUUCAGGAAGCCACACCAAAAGGGGGACUGAGGUGGGUGCUGAGUGAGCCACUUUGUACUUCCUUUCCCAUAAGUGCCUAGUAAAUGAUGAGGAGGAAUGAACAGAUAGAAGGAAGAAAUAUAAAAGUCAUAAUUAUCAUCUUAACUCCUCCAUAUUUUUAUUUACAUAUUAUUCAAAUUUAGCCUUUAAUUAACAAAAUAUGCCAUUACCCCUUCAAAAAUAUCAUUUAUCUUUUUCUUUUCAGGCAAUUAUUUGGCUCUGUCUUUACUGCAUCAUCUGCUUCUAAAUUGUUCAAAUGUUCACACAAUCUAUGUGUUCCUUCGACUGUAGCUUGUGAUUUGAAAAAUACUGCAUUCCUUUUUACCUGUACAGGAACAUGAACCCUCUGAUUAUAACAACACAUAUUGACUCAUACAAUGAAAGUUUCCUUUGAGGAAUGCCCUCUUGGUCUAGUGGUUAGGACUCAGCACUUUCAACCACUGCAGAUCAGGUUCAAUACCCGGUCUGGGGACUGUGAUCCCAUAUCAAGCUGCAGCAUGCCAUUCCCGCCCCCGCCCCACAAAGGUUUCUGUCAAAUCUGAAACCAUAAUUCCAAGUUACUUCUGUCAGAACAGAUAAAUUGAACAUAACUUUGAUUUCUUUCUGUGCUUGGAAUCUUUAUGUCAGAACAGAUAAAUUGAACAUUGAUUUCUUUCUGUACUUGCAAUCUUUAUAGCACACUGAUGACAGCAAUUAAGCUAUCUAUUUUAGGCAUACUAGGUAUAGAACUCUCCUGCAAAAAUUCAUAAGCUUAAAUAAAUUCAUUUUUUAACCUGUGCUUAAGUUUUUGUUUCCCAAAGUUCAAGACCCAAAUUAGCACUCUUCUAGUGCAUUCCCAGUGCAUGUUUUUUAGGUACCCAGACUGAGUUUCUAAAGAUAAAAUUAUGCUUAGUGAUAAGAUUUACACUAUCAUCAUUCAGCCCCUGACUCACUGAAUGACACAGGUGAGCUAUGUAAGAUAUGGUAGUUAAGUGACUGGUUCAGCAAGUGAACUAUAGGAAGGGUCAGAGGUUAGGAUGAUAAAACUCAGGUAGAUGGAUGAGGAUUUUAUUACAGCAAUACUAAUAUGAAUUCAUUUCCAAAUAAGACCUUAUAAUUGUGAAAAAAGCAUUUCUCCUGUUAAAUGAUGUGCACAACAUUUCUGGGAAGCAAUCGGGUAUCAUCUCCAUUUUACUGAAUUCAAGUCAACAAAUCAAAAAGUUGAGCACCUACUAUAUGCCAGGUGCUGUGCAAGGUGCAAUAGUUACCAUAAUUAGACAUAGGGUAACGUGAUAGUGUAGACAUAGUGUAAUUGGAGUUCAAUAAAUGCCAUGAUAGGAAAGUUUAGAGUAGAACAGAAGCAUAAAGGUAGAAAAGAUUCACAGAAGAAGCUCUUAGCCUAGACUUUCAGAAAGUGAGAGUAACAUCUGAACUGGUGGUUCUCAAUGAGUGGCAAUUUUACACCCACCCCACUUCUAGGAAACAUAUUUGAUUGAUCCAGUUUUUUUAUAGGAGUUGAGGGGUGCUACUGGCCAGAAGCCGGGGAUGCUGCUAAACCUCUUUCCAAGUCUCGCCCACAGGAGAGCCCCUGCAAAAAAGAUUAUUCAGUCCAUAAAGCCAACAGCGCUGCAGGUAAGAAACCAGCCAUGUAAGAGCUGAUACAUGACUAGGACCUGGCUAGGUGGAGGCAUCAGGGGAGGACAUGGCAGUGGUGGAGGAAUGAUAGGGGACAAUGUUCCAAGAGUGAGUGCCUCUUAUGUGAAGAAUCUCCACACUAACUGGAUCGCCAAUGUUCUUUAAUUGUGAAAUACACGUAACAUGAAACUUACCAUUUUAAACACUUUUAAGUGUAGAGUUCAGUGAUAUUAAGUGUUUCACACUGUUGUGCAACAACCACUACCAUUUCUCUCUGGAAAUUUUUUAUCAUUCCAAACCAUACCUCUGUGCUUAAUAAACAGCAAUUCCUCAUUUUUCCCUGCCCCCAGCCCCUGAAACCCAUUGUACUCUCUGUCUCUAUGGAUGUGACUGCUCUAGGAACCUCGUGUAAGUGGAAUAAUACAGUAUUUGCUCUUUUGUGUCUGGCUUAUUUCACUUAGUACAAUGUCUUCAAGGUCCAUCCACAUUGUAGCAAGUGUCAGAUGUCCCUUCCUUUUAAAGGACUGAAUAAUAUUCCACUGUAUGUACAGACCAUAUUUUGUUUAUCCACUCAUCCACUGUUGGACGACUGGGUUGUUUUCACCCUUUGGCUACUGUGAAUAAUGCUGCUCUGAACAUGAGCUAGAAGUAUCUGUUCAACUUCCUGCAUUCAACUCUUUUGAGGAUAUACUUAGAGAUCGCAAUUUUUACAUACCAAUUAAUUGUUCUAUUGCUCGGCAUAGAGUAAAAAAAAAUAAUACCCAAGAUCCC
rnacentral:lncRNA from 1 species